GGUACUCGACAGAAAACCAAAAAAAUAUACCCAUAUAUACAUUUCAUGGGCCCACACAUAUUUAUUGCAAUUCUUUUUAUGGAUGUUAUAUUUAGAUUUCUGUUAUGUUAUUUCAGGUUUUUUCGUUAUUUAGAUUUACGGCAUACUGUUGAAAAUGAGAAAUGAUUAUACUAUAUUAUUAUAUGACAAUUACCUUAUGAGAUUCAAACCGGGGUACUCAUGCAACAUGUGUGUUUCUCUGUUGUACCUUUGCUAUCUGGACCACUGAGCGGGUAUGGAAAAAAACAAGACAAACCUACCGCAAGUCAAUAAUAAUUGAAAGGGUAUACAUUUUCGGGAUUGUUUUACACGACGUUGGUUGUUAUUGUAUGCGUUUGACGUUUCCAAAAAAUUAUAACAAAAUACGUGCUCAGUCUGUUCUCCACUUGUUAUCGAUCUGUGCUUGUUGUUUUGAAUGAUUAAUAGAAAACAUGUCCGAAAACUAUAACAUCGUUGAGACGUCCGAACAUAAGGACAAAUUUUUAUCUGUGCUGCCUUCGUUGUGGAUAUUAAAAAAGGAUGGAGAUCCUAUGGACCGGACGAUUCAGAUGAUGACGAUAAUGGUAAUGAUCUGUACUAUUGGCCAAAAGGUGUUUCCGGCUACCGGCUGCUCGAAAAAUCUAAGAAAGGCCCCACUAUCAAACCGGAUCUAAAAGUGAUGUACGCUUAUCGGUGCAAGAUCAAAAGAACAAAAUUCUUGGGCUAUUUUGAUGUGUUCCGUGAGUUGAAGUUACGGAAAUGAAUUCCGGUACGGAAGAAUACAACACAAUGAUGAACAUGAGAGAAGCUGAUCUUUUCAAGCAAAUCCAACAAUCAAACCCAGGGCCAUGUCGAGAAUCUGCAGCUUCAAACCAAGGCAUCGAAAUAGCAGAAAGUCUGUCGUCUGAAUCAACAAAUAAAUCACAAAGCGAAAUUGAAUGCAACAGUUUAUCACAGUUGAAGAUGAGCGGAAGUGAUUUAAAUCGAUUCCUAGUAUUUGGCCAGCAUCCUUCGUUGAAUAUGUGGAAUUCUGAUGAUGAUUCUAAUUCCGGAAAAGCCAAUCAUCUAAUUUCGGAAAAGCCAAUCGAAGACAAUUUUCUAUAAAGCAAUUAAAUAUCACAUAUGGUUUUAUGUACUUUUAAGUAUAAAAUUUAGAUAAACCUUGAUGUCAAUAUUUUUCGUCUUCAAUAUAAGAAACAUUACAUUUUUUCCUAGGAGUGCGGAGCAACCAUCUCGGGCUUCCCGGAAGUGUUCGUUCAUAGAUAUUUUUGACGUAGAACUACGUCUUUCA